UGACUGAGAGGUAAGAAUAGCUCUUUCCCUCAAGGGUUUAGAGACCUGCAACCAGUAGGAAGGCAGAGAUGCCACACUGUGGACGUAUCCACGGAUACCUUGAUGACGAUUAUGCCUGGAUUUGAGCUACAGGAGCUGUUUGUUAAUGAGGCUAAUCACCAGUGAGCUCUCUCCACAGGAAUCCUUCAGUUCUAUGGUAACGUAAUUAGCCAGAAGAAUCUGAGCAAGCAGAAGCCGAAUGGCAAGGACUUUCAGAUUUAUUGGUGUGAUUGUUCCUUUGUUGUAAAAGUUGUGAUUACAAUUCAUGGCAGUGUGUGUCUAUCAACAAACUAUUUCCUGCAGUGAAUAGCCUUACCAAAUCUUGUUUGUUUUUCUGCUCUUUGUUAGAGUAGCAAUAUUUGAGGAUUGGCUCCCCGGCCCAUGGAAAAAUUGAAAAUGUUUACGCUUUUAGACAUCCGUGAUCCACUGCCUUACAUUUCAAUAUCUUUGAUCUAUUGCUUUGUUUCUUAUUGUCACAGCAGUGGUCUACUUACUCAGCAGCUUACAUGACGUAAAAGGUUGGCUAAUCCUUACUUUCCAAUGUUUUCUUAGUACUGUCUGGCUUUCUAGUUUGAGGUUCUGUAAGUCUCCCACGCCCGGUGGUUCACUGCUCUGAGCACAGAAUGGCCAUGAAGGCACCGAGAGACGUAAACAUGAAGAUAAACUACACAAGACAAUGUUACUUUGUCCAAAAAAAGUAUGCAACUAUUCCUUUAAACAGAAUGUAACAUUUCUCUUGAUGGCUGAUGUGAUAGUACCCGGAAACAGAUGAAGCAUAGAGAACAUUUUAAGGAGAUGACAAAAGCAUGAGAGGAAUAGGAGAUAUAGGAAUACAGCAGUGCUGAGGAAGAGGACUCACAGUGAGGACAUAUGGCUACUUCUCGGAAAUUGUGUUGAGCUUUCUGAUGCCCAGUACUGCUGAGGCAUCACCAAAAAGAAGAGAAGUCCUGUGCCUUUAAUGUCAUGUUUCCAGGACUUGCAAUACAAUACCAUAAUACAAUCAGCAGACUUCACAAUUAUCUAAUAUCCUCUGAAUGGAUUUCGAGGCUGUUUCCAUUCAUUGAUGUAGAAAUAGUGAAAUAGCAAUUCCUUAGAGUAAGAUUACUUUUCCACAAAUACGGAUACCUGUGGGUAAAAAACAAAUUACAGUUUUCAAGUAUUCUAAAAAGGACUUCCUGGUUGUACAUAUACUUUUAUACCUGAAGUGACAUCAGAAUUGGCUUUAUGCUGAUACCUGUUUGGAUCAUAAAUAUACAUAAAAUAUCCAAACUUCAUGUAAAAGGUUUUUGAUUUCAAAUGAACAAUUACUUCAGCAACUUUUUCAUUAGUUUAAAUUUAAAUUAGAACCUUGAAUAUUGGUAACAUGAUGAGCUCUACUUCUCUAAUCUUUCAUCAGGGCAGGUUAUAGGAGGUAAUGAACUUCCAUAUCACACUAGAUUCUGACACAGGGAUUCUCAAUAAGCGCCGGACAUCUGUACCUGGCUCUAGACAGAGAGCUAUAUUACAUCUCCUGUGUACUGACCUCUGCCUGCCUCGACCUCCUGCUCACUCCUUCUCUGCUUUGCUGUUUAUGCCAAUUGUGUACCGAACCCUGCCUGCCUACGACUUGUCUCUGCUCUGUGAUUAUUUAUAUUAAACAAAA